GAUGAACGCUGGCGGCGUGCCUAAUACAUGCAAGUCGAGCGAACAGACGAGGAGCUUGCUCCUCUGACGUUAGCGGCGGACGGGUGAGUAACACGUGGAUAACCUACCUAUAAGACUGGGAUAACUUCGGGAAACCGGCGCUAAUACCGGAUAAUAUAUUGAACCGCAUGGUUCAAUAGUGAACGACGGUUUUGCUGUCACUUAUAGAUGGAUCCGCGCCGCAUUAGCUAGUUGGUAAGGUAACGGCUUACCACGGCAACGAUGCGUAGCCGACCUGAGAGGGUGAUCGGCCACACUGGAACUGAGACACGGUCCAGACUCCUACGGGAGGCAGCAGUAGGGAAUCUUGCGCAAUGGGCGAAAGCCUGACGGAGCAACGCCGCGUGAGUGAUGAAGGUCUUCGGAUCGUAAAACUCUGUUAUUAGGGAAGAACAAAUGUGUAAGUAACUAUGCACGUCUUGACGGUACCUAAUCAGAAAGCCACGGCUAACUACGUG
rnacentral:rRNA from 1 species